rnacentral:misc_RNA from 1 species
UCCGGUUUGUCACCGGCAGUUUCAUUAAAGUGCCCAACUGAAUGAUGGCAAUUAAUGACAAGGGUUGCGCUCGUUGCGGGACUUAACCCAACAUCUCACGACACGAGCUGACGACAGCCAUGCAGCACCCGUGUUACCGUUCCCUUUCGGGCACACUCACCUCUCGGCGAGCUUCGGUACAUGUCAAGGGUAGGUAAGGUUUUUCGCGUUGCAUCGAAUUAAUCCACAUAAUCCACCGCUUGUGCGGGUCCCCGUCAAUUCCUUUGAGUUUUAAUCUUGCGACCGUACUCCCCAGGCGGUCAACUUCACGCGUUAGCUACGGCACGGGAUCCGUUGAUAAGACCCCACACCUAGUGCCCAACGUUUACGGCGUGGACUAC